UCUCGGGAGCAUGGGAGAUUAUGCCUGUGCGGUGGUGGAGGCGGGGAAGGGGGGUAGCUGGGGUAAAUAGAUUUUUGGGUAGGAAGUAAUCAUCUUUGUGAAUUUAGAAUAGUUUGUGGAGUGGAGAGACAGAGAGAGACAUACAGAGAAGGAAAGCGGCAGAGAGAGGGAGAGGUAGAGAGAGGUAGAGAGACAGAGAGAGACAUACAGAGAAGGAAAGCGGCAGAGAGAGGGAGAGGUAGAGAGAGGUAGAGAGACAGAGAGAGACAUACAGAGAAGGAAAGCGGCAGAGAGAGGGAGAGGUAGAGAGACAGAGAGAGACAUACAGAGAAGGAAAGCGGCAGAGAGUGGGAGAGGUAGAGAGAGGUAGAGAGACAGAUAGAGACAUACAGAGAAGGAAAGCGGCAGAGAGAGGGAGAUGUAGAGAGAGGUAGAGAGAAAGAGAGACGCAACGAGAGAGAAGUAGAGAGAGAGAGAGAGGUGGAGAGACAGAGAGAGACAUACAGAGAAGGAAAGCGGCAGAGAGAGGGAGAUGUAGAGAGAGGUAGAGAGACAGAGAGACGCAGCGAGAGAGAAGUAGAGAGAGAGAGAGAGAGACAUACAGAGAAGGAAAGCGGCAGAGAGAGGGAGAUGUAGAGAGAGGUAGAGAGACAGAGAGACGCAGCGAGAGAGAAGUAGAGAGAGAGAGAGAGACAUACAGAGAAGGAAAGCGGCAGAGAGAGGGAGAGGUAGAGAGAGGUAGAGAGACAGAGAGAGACAUACAGAGAAGGAAAGCGGCAGAGAGAGGGAGAGGUAGAGAGAGGUAGAGAGACAGAGAGAGACAUACAGAGAAGGAAAGCGGCAGAGAGAGGGAGAUGUAGAGAGAGGUAGAGAGACAGAGAGAGACAUACAGAGAAGGAAAGCGGCAGAGAGAGGGAGAGGUAGAGAGAGGUAGAGAGACAGAGAGAGACAUACAGAGAAGGAAAGCGGCAGAGAGAGGGAGAGGUAGAGAGAGGUAGAGAGACAGAGAGAGACAUACAGAGAAGGAAAGCGGCAGAGAGAGGGAGAGGUAGAGAGAGGUAGAGAGACAGAGAGAGACAUACAGAGAAGGAAAGCGGCAGAGAGAGGGAGAGGUAGAGAGAGGUAGAGAGACAGAGAGAGACAUACAGAGAAGGAAAGCGGCAGAGAGAGGGAGAGGUAGAGAGAGGUAGAGAGACAGAGAGAGACAUACAGAGAAGGAAAGCGGCAGAGAGUGGGAGAAGUAGAGAGAGGUAGAGAGACAGAGAGAGACAUACAGAGAAGGAAAGCGGCAGAGAGAGGGAGAGGUAGAGAGACAGAGAGAGACAUACAGAGAAGGAAAGCGGCAGAGAGAGGGAGAGGUAGAGAGAGGUAGAGAGACAGAGAGAGACAUACAGAGAAGGAAAGCGGCAGAGAGAGGGAGAGGUAGAGAGAGGUAGAGAGACAGAGAGAGACAUACAGAGAAGGAAAGCGGCAGAGAGAGGGAGAGGUAGAGAGAGGUAGAGAGACAGAGAGAGACAUACAGAGAAGGAAAGCGGCAGAGAGAGGGAGAGGUAGAGAGACAGAGAGAGACAUACAGAGAAGGAAAGCGGCAGAGAGAGGGAGAUGUAGAGAGAGGUAGAGAGACAGAGAGAGACAUACAGAGAAGGAAAGCGGCAGAGAGAGGGAGAUGUAGAGAGAGGUAGAGAGAGAGAGAGAGACAUACAGAGAAGGAAAGCGGCAGAGAGAGGGAGAGGUAGAGAGAGGUAGAGAGACAGAGAGAGACAUACAGAGAAGGAAAGCGGCAGAGAGAGGGAGAGGUAGAGAGAGGUAGAGAGACAGAGAGAGACAUACAGAGAAGGAAAGCGGCAGAGAGAGGGAGAUGUAGAGAGAGGUAGAGAGACAGAGAGACGCAGCGAGAGAGAAGAAGAGAGACAGAGAGAGGGAGAUGUAGAGAGAGAGAGAGAGAGUAUGAGAAAGGCAGAGAGAGAGAGGUAGAGAGAAGGAGAGUCAGGAAGUGG